rnacentral:rRNA from 1 species
UACGAAGGGGGCUAGCGUUGCUCGGAAUCACUGGGCGUAAAGCGCACGUAGGCGGAUCUUUAAGUCAGGGGUGAAAUCCCAAGGCUCAACCUUGGAACUGCCUUUGAUACUGGGGAUCUCGAGUCCGGAAGAGGUUGGUGGAACUGCGAGUGUAGAGGUGAAAUUCGUAGAUAUUCGCAAGAACACCAGUGGCGAAGGCGGCCAACUGGUCCGGAACUGACGCUGAGGUGCGAAAGCGUGGUGAGCAAACAGG